rnacentral:rRNA from 1 species
UACGAAGGGGGCUAGCGUUGCUCGGAAUCACUGGGCGUAAAGCGCACGUAGGCGGAUUGUUAAGUCAGGGGUGAAAUCCUGGAGCUCAACUCCAGAACUGCCUUUGAUACUGGCGAUCUUGAGUCCGGGAGAGGUGAGUGGAACUCCGAGUGUAGAGGUGAAAUUCGUAGAUAUUCGGAAGAACACCAGUGGCGAAGGCGACUUACUGGACACAUAUUGACGCUGAGGUGCGAAAGCGUGGGGAGCAAACAGG